GUCCACGCCCUAAACGAUGUCGACUAGUCGUUCGGAGCAGCAAUGCACUGAGUGACGUAGCUAACGCGUGAAGUCGACCGCCUGGGGAGUACGGCCGCAAGGUUAAACUCAAAGGAAUUGACGGGGACCCGCACAAGCGGUGGAUGAUGUGGAUUAAUUCGAUGCAACGCGAAAACCUUACCUACCCUUGACAUGUCUGGAACCCUGGUGAGAGCCGGGGGUGCCUUCGGGAGCCAGAACACAGGUGCUGCAUGGCUGUCGU
rnacentral:rRNA from 1 species